rnacentral:RNase_P_RNA from 1 species
UGGGGUAGCUGGAUAGCCGCGCCAAUUGUAAUUGCACCAUUUAUGGUGCAUAAAGGAAUUUGGUGAGGAAAGUCCGGGCUUCAAAGGGUAGGAUGUUUCCUAACGGGAAGGUUCGGUAAAACGGACGGAAAGUGCCACAGAAAACAUACCGCCCGCCGCUUUGUGCGGUAGGUAAGGGUGAAAAGGUGAGGUAAGAGCUCACCGCUCUGAUGGUGACAUCAGAGGCAUGGCAAACCCUAUCUGAAGCAAAACCAAGCAGCCCUGUUUGAAGUGGCCCGCUUCAUUCUGCCAUGAAUAAUGGCGGAUACAGGGUGGGUAGGUUGCACAGAGCCUGGUAGUGAUAUCAGGACAAGAUAAAUGGCUAUCUAUAACAGAACCCGGCUUAUAGGCUGCCCCACAAU